CCCUUAGAUGUUCUGGGCUGCACGCGCGCUACACUGAUGCAUCCAACAAGUUUUUUCCUUGUUCGAGAGGACUAGGUAAUCUUAUGAGAAUGCAUCGUGAUGGGGAUAGAUUAUUGCAAUUAUUAAUCUUCAACGAGGAAUUCCUAGUAAGCGCGAGUCAUCAGCUCGUGCUGAUUACGUCCCUGCCCUUUGUACACACCGCCCGUCGCUGCAACUGAUUGGGUGACCUGGUGAACAGCUUGGACCGGCCCACUCAAUUUCGAGAGGACUGGAAAAGGCCGUAAAUCAGGUACAUCUAGAAAGUGCAAAAGUCGUAACA
rnacentral:rRNA from 1 species